AGUGGCUUGGAUCGAUUCGAACCACCCCUUUAAGGAAACGCUUUGAACUCACCUUCUCGGUAGGGUACUAGACCAUGCAGUGGACAGGUGUCAGAUAUACAUACAGUGUAGGACAAAAUAAUAAGAGGCUUUACAUACGAUGAGCCACUCAGAAAAGACAUUGAUCAACUCCAAAAUUGGAAAAUAUAGAAAGAACGAAUAUAAAUGCUUGUGCGGUAAUGCGAAAUUGAAAUAAAUUAGGAGCGUUAAUGAGAUUAAUGAUAAUGUAGAAACAAAGCAAAUUGAAAG